rnacentral:piRNA from 1 species
UCGGGGCUACAUGUCCAAUGUGGAGAGUG